GGUGGGCAAUGACUGAUGGGAAGCCUAGCAAGGUGACUGGGGAUUGUGGGAACUAACCUACUUGUCCCAUGUUUCCUAAUGACCAGAUCGUGGAUUGCAAGUCACUGUCACCCAGUGUCUUGCGACCUUGUUGGUGUUCAGUUGUUGAGAACUAAGAACCUUCUGCCUCUGGAUGGGAGUCAGCUAAACAGGGCACAAAGAUGAGGGACUCAGAGGCUCCCCACAGACGAAGAGCAGUGUGGAGAACUCAGCGUGUGAACAAGAUGAAGUCAUUGGCAGUCCAGAGAGGGAGCGGGACUUGCCAGCGCAUGCCCAGCAGGCCAGAAUUAAGACCAUACCUUCUGGGCUCAGAGAGGGGGCUAGAGGCUGAAGUGGUGAAGGAGGAAGAGGAGCGGGUUACUUUUUCAUUAAGGAGAUCAAAUGUUUGCAAGAUGUCCAGGCUCAGAUCCGAAGCUUCCACCAACGCACCAGCUGCCUGCUGUAGCAACGGCGGCCUGGCCUGGAGCUGGCUGGAGCCAGUUGUUCAACAUUCUGGAAUUUGGCAUUCAUGAAAACCAUCAGCAACUCCAGUUCCAGCAGAUCUGAUGUCCUCUUCUGGCCUCCGUGGGCACUGCAUGCACAUGUAUGAUGCACAAACAUGUAUGCCAGCACAAUACUGGCAUAUAUAAAAUAAACACUCAGAAGAAGAUAGA